CAGCUCUUGACAUGGCAGGACGGUUCCCGGAGACGGGUUCCUUCACUUCGGUGACCUGCACACAGGUGCUGCAUGGCUGUCGUCAGCUCGUGUCGUGAGAUGUUGGGUUAAGUCCCGCAACGAGCGCAACCCUCGCCUCCAGUUGCCAUCAUUUAGUUGGGCACUCUGGAGGGACUGCCGGUGAUAAGCCGAGAGGAAGGUGGGGAUGACGUCAAGUCCUCAUGGCCCUUACGGGCUGGGCUACACACGUGCUACAAUGGCGGUGACAGAGGGCAGCGACCCCGCGAGGGGGAGCUAAUCCCAAAAAGCCGUCUCAGUUCGGAUUGUUCUCUGCAACUCGAGAGCAUGAAGCUGGAAUCGCUAGUAAUCGUGGAUCAGCAUGCCACGGUGAAUACGUUCCC
rnacentral:rRNA from 1 species